rnacentral:rRNA from 1 species
AACGAACGCUGGCGGCAGGCCUAACACAUGCAAGUCGAGCGGACCUUUCGGGUUCAGCGGCGGACGGGUGAGUAACGCGUGGGAAUAUGCCCUUCUCUACGGAAUAGUCCUGGGAAACUGGUGGUAAUACCGUAUACGCCCUUUGGGGGAAAGAUUUAUCGGGGAAGGAUUAGCCCGCGUUGGAUUAGGUAGUUGGUGGGGUAAUGGCCUACCAAGCCGACGAUCCAUAGCUGGUGUGAGAGGAUGAUCAGCCACACUGGGACUGAGACACGGCGCAGACUCCUACGGGAGGCAGCAGUGGGGAAUCUUAGACAAUGGGGGCAACCGUGAUAAAGCCAUGCCGCGUGAGUGAUGAAGGCCUUAGGAUUGUAAAGCUUUUUCAGCUGGGAAGCUAAUGACGGUACCAGCAGAAGAAGCCCCGGCUAACUCCGUG